rnacentral:miRNA from 14 species
UGUGUGUGUGUGUGUGUGUGUGUGUGUGUACAGAUGAUUAACUCCUGCUCAGGUGAAAUGGACUCUGACAUGUGUGUUCUGUCCCCACAAGUUAAUCAUCUGUGGACACACACACACACACACACACACACA